rnacentral:rRNA from 1 species
UGGCGCCACAAGUGGUGAUCAUUUUUAUUGGGCCUAAAGCGUUCGUAGCCGGUUUGAUAAAUCUUCUGUGAAAUUGUCAGGCUUAACCUGACAGCGUGCAGAAGACACUAUUAGACUUGGGACCGGGAGGAGUCAGAGGUAUUCUCUGGGGAGCGGUAAAAUGCUAUAAUCCAGAGAAGACUAACUGUGGCGAAGGCGUCUGACCAGAACGGAUCCGACGGUGAUUGGCCGAAAGUCAGGGGAGCAAUCCGGAUUAGAGACCCGAGUAGUCC